AACAAAUCAACUUUUCAGUUUUUAGAUAUAAUGUUUAACUCUUCGUCUUAUUAAAAAAAUUUUAUGAUUAAUAAUUUUAUUUUUAUUAGAUGAUAAAAUAUAAAUAGUACUUUAUGUGUGACUAAAUUUUUAAAAAAAUUUGAAAAUUUUUCAAAUAAGACAGAUGGUCAAACGCUCGACACAAAAACC
rnacentral:pre_miRNA from 1 species